UACGGAGGGAGCAAGCGUUACUCGGAAUUACUGGGCGUAAAGCGCGCGCAGGCGGCUUAGCAAGUCAGGGGUGAAAGCCCGGGGCUCAACCUCGGAACUGCCUUUGAGACUGCUAGGCUCGAGACCGAGAGAGGAGAGUGGAAUUCCCAGUGUAGAGGUGAAAUUCGUAGAUAUUGGGAAGAACACCAGUGGCGAAGGCGGCUCUCUGGCUCGGUACUGACGCUGAGGCGCGAAAGCGUGGGGAGCAAACAGG
rnacentral:rRNA from 1 species